rnacentral:lncRNA from 1 species
AUAUUUUCUGAAAAGUUAGCAAACAUGAAACUGCUGAAACAGUUUGGAAAAUACUUGAGGAGCUUUAUUUAACUCAAUCCAAACCCAGCAAACUUUUUUUUACUUGAAAGUUUUUCCAGUUUCAAAUUAAUCCCUCAAAGGAGUUAAACGACAAUCUUGACAUUUUCAAUAAAUUGGUUCAAAAUAUUAUAAAUCGUGGUGAAGAUUUGUUGGAUAAUUGAUAUCAAAUAAACCCAAGGCUAUGAUGAUAAACCUAGUCGGACCAAGUUCAUAAGCCUUGUGCCAAUUAUUGAAGCAUUUAUAGCAAUUAACCCAGAACCAAGACGGACCAAGAACUCACUUGUUGCAAGGUUGACUCACCUAUUAUGUUUGGUCCAUUCAGUUUUGAGCUAGGAACCCAUUUAUAUGAGUGGACUCCCCUCAUUGCGGUCGCACAUAAUACUUGCGCUGCCUUCUUUGCUUUUGUCUCUGACUUUUAGCUACCUUGUCUUUUAGCAUUUGCUCCGUGCUCCGGCUUUGGCUGCCCUUUCUUGACCUCCUUUUCGGGGUCAUCGGCUGUUGUGCUAUACCGGUGGCUCUCUGUUGUGGCUCCACUCUGCUCCGUUUUCGACCUUCUCCCUCGCACCAGUUUUAUGUCCGUUCAUUUGUAGCUUGAUUUGGUCGAUCCUUUUGACAGUUCUUGUGAGAUUCUUGGAUCCAAUUGAGUGUGGUGCUACCUUGUUGCUUUCAAUUGGUUAAUCUGAGCCUCGAUCAUCCACUACGCAUCUUGGAACAUGGAUUUGUUAGGAAAUUAUUUUUCUUGCGAUUUCAAUAUAGUUAAUUCAAUUUCUGGCUUAUAGUAUUGAUAUCUAACUUGGUGUUUAAUUAUCUUUACUUGUUAGGAACACUAUUUUACAACCAGCAGGAAUAUGCUAUUUGCACGAAGAAUGGCCCGAAGUUGGCUAUGACCUCAAAACAAUAGACUUCUAGCUGUCAGAUGAAGGAGAACCAUUGAUAUCAAUGUUUAAAUUUGAUUAUCAUAACAACAGCAAAAAAGGAGGUAACACCAUUAUAGCAAGAUGGUGUUGGAAUGCGGAAUCGGAAUUAUCCAGAAAUUAAAAAUUUCUUUAAUUCAAUAGCCAAGAUCGUUUAGAUGUUCACGUGUAUGUUAUAUCAAAAUUAAAGGAUUUGAAUCUUUUACCUAAGUUCAAUUAUCAACCUUUGAAUUGAUUUUGAACCACGA